rnacentral:rRNA from 1 species
GGGGAAUUUUCCGCAAUGGGCGAAAGCCUGACGGAGCAAGACCGCGUGAGGGAGGAAGGCUCUUGGGUUGUAAACCUCUUUUCUCAGGGAAGAAGAACUGACGGUACCUGAGGAAUCAGCAUCGGCUAACUCCGUGCCAGCAGCCGCGGUAAUACGGAGGAGGCAAGCGUUAUCCGGAAUUAUUGGGCGUAAAGCGUCCGUAGGUGGCUCUUCAAGUCUGCUGUCAAAGAGUGGGGCUUAACUCCAGAAAGGCAGUGGAAACUGAAAGGCUAGAGAGCCGUAGGGGUAGAGGGAAUUCCCGGUGUAGCGGUGAAAUGCGUAGAGAUCGGGAAGAACAUCGGUGGCGAAAGCGCUCUACUGGACGGUAUCUGACACUGAGGGACGAAAGCUAGGGGAGCGAAUGGGAUUAGAUACCCCAGUAGUC